CCCGCUGAAGGCCUGAGCUGGGGUUGGCAUCGCAGGGUUACAUGAAGAAUUAUAACGACUGCAACGACUCCUGUUUUCUAUCAGCAGAAGAACAGAUCAUGAGAAAUGUUCAGCUUGGGAUAGAAUCGGGGUGAUGUUUCAAAGUCGAAAAGAAGAAAAAAGUUGGAUCCCUGUCAGACUUGAUCUCCAGAUCAGGCUGACUCAUCUGUCCCAUCAGAAGCAACACAUGUGAACAGACGGCUAGCAGCAUGGCUUAAAAAAGGAAAGAAACAUCUUACAUGCUUAACACUUAACUUACAUUCUGUUGUGUCUGUGCCCUGGAGGGAAAUUAUCUGUCUAUGACAAUAGUCAAUAUAUCAUUCCUGCUCUAAAAGCUGCUGAUAUUAGAGCUGUGUUGUCUACUUGUAAUUUCACAAAAAAAGCACAACAUGCUGUUUUUCAAAUAGAAUGAUCUCUAGUUACAUAUUGCAGUCAUUCUGUGAAAUAUGCUUUUUUGUGUUUUGAUGAUUUUAAAGUAAAUUUCAGUAAGAUCUGUGUAAGAUUAUAGAAGGCAAAAGUAGUAGCAAUUAGUAAAAUCAGGCGACGGGGUGAACAUGCCACGAUUAAUGAGAUUGAUUAAGCAUGCAAAACUAUUAUUAAGGAACUUUUGGAUUUGUCUUCUACAAAGAGUCACAUCCUGUUCGCUAUGCCAUUAGAAUAACAGUUUACCAACUUGAGGCAAACGAGUAGACUUCGAAACAAACUCAUAAACACGAAUAAAUUAUAAGGUAACACUUUAUAAUAAGGUUCCAUUAUUGUUUGCAUGAACUAACAGUGAAAAACACUCUCAAAAAAUAAUUUAUUAAUCUUAGUUCAUUUAAACCUUUAUACAUUACACAUAUACUGUAUAUCAUUAAAUUCUAAAGUUGUAAUGGUCUUGAGUUAACAUGAACUAUCAAUUAAUAGUUAUAUUUUAUGGCAUAAUGUUAACAAAUAGUAAUUAAUAUUGUAACAAAUGUAUUACUCAUUUUUAGUUAAUGUAAAUACAUUAUGUAACGUUAAAUAAUAGGACAUUAUUGUAAAGUGUUAUACAAGUAUACACAUUUAUUUAAUAAAUGUGAAUCUAGUGUGACUGACAAAAACAGCAAACACUGUAGCAUAACAAAGAUUUGGUAUUAUGGAUUUUUUAAAGAAAAAAUAAAAAGUUGUCUAUG